rnacentral:misc_RNA from 1 species
CCUAAGAGAUACGUGUUAUGUGCAGUGCUCACACAGAUUGUCUGAUGAAGAACGAGCAGAAAUACCGGUAUAGGCUUGUAGCUCAGGUGGUUAGAGCGCACCCCUGAUAAGGGUGAGGUCGGUGGUUCAAGUCCACUCAGGCCUACCACUUUUCCUUUAUGCUGCGUUGUGAAAUCACUCGUUUACUUAUUGUAAACUUCGUGACUCCACGCCUUGCCUAAAGAAAAAGCUUCUUUCUAAAAAGAAGAAAAGGAGUGGUUAUACUGGUAUUAAAGAAUGCAUUAUGGGGCUAUAGCUCAGCUGGGAGAGCGCCUGCCUUGCACGCAGGAGGUCAGCGGUUCGAUCCCGCUUAGCUCCACCAUAAUCUCUUGAAUAUAAAACAAUAAUUCAGAGUAUAUUAGCAAUAGUAUACUGCGAAUUAUUUUGCUCUUUAACAAUCUGGAACAAGCUGAAAAAUUGAAAACAAAUCAAUAUAUCACCAAGGUAUAUUGAUGAGUCUCUCAAAAUCUCAAAUCUGAAAAUACUCUUCAGAAAGGAUAUGCGAGCAAAACGAUUUCAAGGCGGACAGUGCACAGCAAGCGGAGCAUACUUAAAGUAUGUGAGCAUGGCGAGCACUGCCCAACGUCGAAAUCAUGAAGCACAGCAAUCCGUUUUAGAAGACAUCUUCGGGUUGUGA